CGCUAGCUCCAUGCUUAACACAUGCAAGUCGAGGGGUAACAUUGGCUGAGCUUGCUCAGCCAGAUGACGACCGGCGCACGGGUGAGUAACGCGUAUCCAACCUGCCCAUGGGUCAGGAAUAACCUUCCGAAAGGGAGCCUAAUACCUGAUGCAGUGAGAAGAAGGCCUCUGAUUUUCACGAAAGACUUCGGUCGCCGAUGGAUGGGGAUGCGUACGAUUAGGCAGCAGGCGGGGUAACGGCCCACCUGGCCUACGAUCGUUAGGGGUUCUGAGAGGAAGGUCCCCCACACUGGUACUGAGACACGGACCAGACUCCUACGGGAGGCAGCAGUGAGGAAUAUUGGUCAAUGGGCGCAAGCCUGAACCAGCCAAGUAGCGUGCAGGACGACUGCCCUAUGGGUUGUAAACUGCUUUUAUGCGGGGAUAAAGUUUGCCACGUGUGGCAAUUUGCAGGUACCGCAUGAAUAAGGACCGGCUAAUUCCGUGCCAGCAGCCGCGGUAAUACGGAAGGUCCGGGCGUUAUCCGGAUUUAUUGGGUUUAAAGGGAGCGUAGGCGGGCUGUUAAGCGUGUCGUGAAAAGCAUCGGCUCAACCGGUGUCGUGCGGCGCGGACUGGCGGUCUUGAGUGGGUAGAAAGCCGGCGGAAUUCGUGGUGUAGCGGUGAAAUGCUUAGAUAUCACGAAGAACUCCGAUUG
rnacentral:rRNA from 1 species